UACGGAGGGUGCAAGCGUUGUCCGGAAUCACUGGGCGUAAAGCGCGCGCAGGCGGUGCGGUAAGUCUCUGGUGAAAGCGCUCGGCUUAACUGGGCGAGGGCCGGGGAGACUGCCACGCUGGAGGGGAGCAGAGGCGAGUGGAAUUCCGGGUGUAGUGGUGAAAUGCGUAGAGAUCCGGAGGAACACCAGUGGCGAAGGCGGCUCGCUGGGCUCUACCUGACGCUGAGGCGCGAAAGCGUGGGGAGCGAACCGG
rnacentral:rRNA from 1 species